UACGUAGGGUGCAAGCGUUAAUCGGAAUUACUGGGCGUAAAGCGUGCGCAGGCGGUUAUGCAAGACAGAGGUGAAAUCCCCGGGCUCAACCUGGGAACUGCAUUUGUGACUGCAAGGCUAGAGUACGGCAGAGGGGGAUGGAAUUCCGCGUGUAGCAGUGAAAUGCGUAGAUAUGCGGAGGAACACCAGUGGCGAAGGCGGCUCACUGGUCCAUUACUGACGCUGAGGUGCGAAAGCGUGGGGAGCAAACAGG
rnacentral:rRNA from 1 species